UUGCAGCAGUCGCGCAACCUCUGCAAUACGCGAAAGCGUGACCGGGCUACCCCGAGUGCCGUCCGCUGAGGAUGGCUUUUCUCCGGUGUAGUAAGCCGGAGGAAUAAGGAGAGGGCAAGUCUGGUGUCAGCCGCCGCGGUAAUACCAGCUCUCCGAGUGGUAGGGACGAUUAUUGGGCCUAAAGCGUCCGUAGCCGGCCAAGCACGUUUCCCGUUAAAUCCAGCGAUCCAAUCGUUGGACUGCGGGAAAUACUGUUAGGCUAGGAGGCGAGAGAGGCCAACGGUAUUCCCGGGGUAGGGGUGAAAUCCCAUAAUCCCGGGAGGAACACCAGUGGCGAAGGCUGUUGGCUAGAACGCGCUCGACGGUGAGGGACGAAAGCUGGGGGAGCGAACCGGAUUAGAUACCCCGGUAGUCC
rnacentral:rRNA from 1 species